rnacentral:tRNA from 1 species
GCGGCCGUAGUCUAGCGGUAGGAUUUUGGCCUUCCAAGCCAACGACCCGGGUUCAAAUCCCGGCGGCCGCA